rnacentral:rRNA from 1 species
AGAGUUUGAUCCUGGCUCAGGACGAACGCUGGCGGCGUGCCUAAUACAUGCAAGUCGAGCGGAAGUUUGAGAGCUUGCUCUCAAACUUUAGCGGCGGACGGGUGAGUAACACGUGGGCAACCUGCCCUGUAGACUGGGAUAACUUCGGGAAACCGAAGCUAAUACCGGAUAAUCUUUUUUGUCACCUGACAGAAAAGUAAAAGUUGGGUUUACCUAACACUACGGGAUGGGCCCGCGGCGCAUUAGCUAGUUGGUAAGGUAAUGGCUUACCAAGGCGACGAUGCGUAGCCGACCUGAGAGGGUGAUCGGCCACACUGGGACUGAGACACGGCCCAGACUCCUACGGGAGGCAGCAGUAGGGAAUCUUCCGCAAUGGACGAAAGUCUGACGGAGCAACGCCGCGUGAACGAUGAAGGCCUUCGGGUCGUAAAGUUCUGUUGUUAGGGAAGAACAAGUACCGUUCAAAUAGGGCGGUACCCUGACGGUACCUAACCAGAAAGCCACGGCUAACUACGUGCCAGCCGCCGCGGUAAUUC